rnacentral:rRNA from 1 species
GACGAACGCUGGCGGCGUGCUUAACACAUGCAAGUCGAACGGAAAGGCCCUGCUUUUGUGGGGUGCUCGAGUGGCGAACGGGUGAGUAACACGUGAGUAACCUGCCCUUGACUUUGGGAUAACUUCAGGAAACUGGGGCUAAUACCGGAUAGGAGCUCCUGCUGCAUGGUGGGGGUUGGAAAGUUUCGGCGGUUGGGGAUGGACUCGCGGCUUAUCAGCUUGUUGGUGGGGUAGUGGCUUACCAAGGCUUUGACGGGUAGCCGGCCUGAGAGGGUGACCGGCCACAUUGGGACUGAGAUACGGCCCAGACGCCUACGGGAGGCAGCAGUGGGGAAGAUUGCACAAUGGGCGGAAGCCGGAUGCAGCAACGCCGCGGGCGGGAUGACGGCCUUCGGGUUGUAAACCGCUUUCGCCUGUGACGAAGCGUGAGUGACGGUAAUGGGUAAAGAAGCACCGGCUAACUACGUG